UACAGAGGUCUCAAGCGUUGUUCGGAUUCAUUGGGCGUAAAGGGUGCGUAGGCGGCGCGGUAAGUCGGGUGUGAAAUCUCGGGGCUCAACCCCGAAACUGCACUUGAUACUGCCUCGCUUGAGUACUGGAGAGGAGACUGGAAUUUACGGUAUAGCAGUGAAAUGCGUAGAUAUCGUAAGGAAGACCAGUGGCGAAGGCGAGUCUCUGGACAGUUACUGACGCUGAGGCACGAAGGCCAGGGGAGCAAACGGG
rnacentral:rRNA from 1 species